rnacentral:rRNA from 1 species
UGGUGGAGUGAUUUGUCUGGUUAAUUCCGUUAACGAACGAGACCUCGACCUGCUAAAUAGUUUGGCGAAUUCCCUGUGGAUUCACACAUAACUUCUUAGAGGGACUAUCGGUUCGCAGCCGGUGGAAGUUCGAGGCAAUAACA